AGAGUUUGAUCCUGGCUCAGGAUGAACGCUGGCGGUAUGCUUAACACAUGCAAGUCGAACGAAGUGCUUCGGCACUUAGUGGCGGACGGGUGAGUAACGCGUGAGAAUCUGCCAAAAGGACUGGGACAACAGCUGGAAACGGCUGCUAAUACCGGAUAUGCCAGAAAGUGAAAUGGGUAAAACCGCCUUUUGAUGAGCUCGCGUCCGAUUAGCUAGUUGGUGGGGUAAAAGCCUACCAAGGCGACGAUCGGUAACUGGUCUGAGAGGAUGACCAGUCACACUGGGACUGAGACACGGCCCAGACUCCUACGGGAGGCAGCAGUGGGGAAUUUUCCGCAAUGGGCGAAAGCCUGACGGAGCAAUACCGCGUGAGGGAGGAAGGCUCUUGGGUUGUAAACCUCUUUUCUCAGGGAAGAACACAAUGACGGUACCUGAGGAAUCAGCAUCGGCUAACUCCGUGCCAGCAGCCGCGGUAAUACGGAGGAUGCAAGCGUUAUCCGGAAUGAUUGGGCGUAAAGCGUCCGCAGGUGGCUUUGCAAGUCUGCUGUCAAAGCUCAGGGCUUAACCCUGAAUCGGCGGUGGAAACUGANAGGCUAGAGUGUGGUAGGGGCAGAGGGAAUUCCCAGUGUAGCGNUGAAAUGCGUAGAGAUUGGGAAGAACACCAGUGGCGAAAGCGCUCUGCUAGACCGCAACUGACACUCAUGGACGAAAGCUAGGGGAGCGAAUGGGAUUAGAUACCCCCGUAGUCC
rnacentral:rRNA from 1 species